rnacentral:tRNA from 1 species
GGGGAAUUAGCUCAGCUGGGAGAGCGCCUGCCUUGCACGCAGGAGGUCAGCGGUUCGAUCCCGCUAUUCUCC